UACGUAGGGUGCGAGCGUUGUCCGGAAUUAUUGGGCGUAAAGAGCUCGUAGGCGGUCUGUCGCGUCUGCUGUGAAAACCCGAGGCUCAACCUCGGGCCUGCAGUGGGUACGGGCAGACUAGAGUGCGGUAGGGGAGAAUGAAUUCCUGGUGUAGCGGUGGAAUGCGCAGAUAUCAGGAGGAACACCGAUGGCGAAGGCAGGUCACUGGGCCGCAACUGACGCUGAGGAGCGAAAGCAUGGGGAGCGAACAGG
rnacentral:rRNA from 1 species